rnacentral:rRNA from 1 species
AACGGCCACAUUGGGACUGAGACACGGCCCAAACUCCUACGGGAGGCAGCAGUAGGGAAUUUUCGGCAAUGGAGGAAACUCUGACCGAGCAAUGCCGCGUGAACGAUGAAGUAUUUCGGUACGUAAAGUUCUUUUAUUAGGGAAGAAUAAAUGAUGGAAAAAUCAUUCUGACGGUACCUAAUGAAUAAGCCCCGGCUAACUAUGUGCCAGCAGCCGCGGUAAUACAUAGGGGGCAAGCGUUAUCCGGAAUUAUUGGGCGUAAAGGGUGCGUAGGCGGUUAAAUAAGUUUAUGGUCUAAGUGCAAUGCUUAACAUUGUGAUGCUAUAAAAACUGUUUAGCUAGAGUAAGAUAGAGGCAAGUGGAAUUCCAUGUGUAGUGGUAAAAUGCGUAAAUAUAUGGAGGAACACCAGUAGCGAAGGCGGCUUGCUGGGUCUUUACUGACGCUGAGGCACGAAAGCGUGGGGAGCAAACAGGAUUAGAUACCCUGGUAGUCCACGCCGUAAACGAUGAGUACUAAAACGUUGGGUAAAACCAGUGUUGAAGUUAACACAUUAAGUACUCCGCCUGAGUAGUACGUACGCAAGUAUGAAACUUAAAGGAAUUGACGGGACUCCGCACAAGCGGUGGAUCAUGUUGUUUAAUUCGAAAGGUACCCCGAAAAAACCUCACCAGGUCUUGACAUGCUUUUUGCAAAGGCUGUAGAAAACACAGUGGGAGGUUAUUCAGUUGUACCAGGUGGGUGCAUGGGUUGUCGUC